UGGGCCCCUUGGCCUGACUU
rnacentral:rRNA from 1 species